GACGAACGCUGGCGGCGUGCCUAAUACAUGCAAGUCGAACGCUGAAGGAGGAGCUUGCUUCUCUGGAUGAGUUGCGAACGGGUGAGUAACGCGUAGGUAACCUGCCUGGUAGCGGGGGAUAACUAUUGGAAACGAUAGCUAAUACCGCAUAAUAGUAGAUGUUGCAUGACAUUUACUUAAAAGAUGCAAUUGCAUCACUACCAGAUGGACCUGCGUUGUAUUAGGUAGUUGGUGGGGUAACGGCUCACCAAGGCGACGAUACAUAGCCGACCUGAGAGGGUGAUCGGCCACACUGGGACUGAGACACGGCCCAGACUCCUACGGGAGGCAGCAGUAGGGAAUCUUCGGCAAUGGACGAAAGUCUGACCGAGCAACGCCGCGGGAGUGGAGAAGGGUCUCGGAUCGUAAAGCUCGGUUGUAAGGGAAGAAAGAGUGUGAGAGUGGAAAGUUCACGCUGUGACGGUAUCUUACCAGAAAGGGACGGCUAACUACGUG
rnacentral:rRNA from 1 species